GGGGGAUUAGUGGCGAACGGGUGAGUAACACGUGAGUAACCUGCCCUUGACUCUGGGAUAAGCCUGGGAAACUGGGUCUAAUACCGGAUACGACCAUCUGGCGCAUGUCAUGGUGGUGGAAAGCUUUUGUGGUUUUGGAUGGACUCGCGGCCUAUCAGCUUGUUGGUGGGGUAAUGGCCUACCAAGGCGACGACGGGUAGCCGGCCUGAGAGGGUGACCGGCCACACUGGGACUGAGACACGGCCCAGACUCCUACGGGAGGCAGCAGUGGGGAAUAUUGCACAAUGGGCGCAAGCCUGAUGCAGCGACGCCGCGUGAGGGAUGACGGCCUUCGGGUUGUAAACCUCUUUCAGUAGGGAAGAAGCGAAAGUGACGGUACCUGCAGAAGAAGCGCCGGCUAACUACGUGCCAGCAGCCGCGGUAAUACGUAGGGCGCAAGCGUUAUCCGGAAUUAUUGGGCGUAAAGAGCUCGUAGGCGGUUUGUCGCGUCUGCUGUGAAAGACCGGGGCUCAACUCCGGUUCUGCAGUGGGUACGGGCAGACUAGAGUGCAGUAGGGGAGACUGGAAUUCCUGGUGUAGCGGUGAAAUGCGCAGAUAUCAGGAGGAACACCGAUGGCGAAGGCAGGUCUCUGGGCUGUAACUGACGCUGAGGAGCGAAAGCAUGGGGAGCGAACAGGAUUAGAUACCCUGGUAGUCCAUGCCGUAAACGUUGGGCACUAGGUGUGGGGGACAUUCCACGUUUUCCGCGCCGUAGCUAACGCAUUAAGUGCCCCGCCUGGGGAGUACGGCCGCAAGGCUAAAACUCAAAGGAAUUGACGGGGGCCCGCACAAGCGGCGGAGCAUGCGGAUUAAUUCGAUGCAACGCGAAGAACCUUACCAAGGCUUGACAUGAACCGGAAAGACCUGGAAACAGGUGCCCCGCUUGCGGUCGGUUUACAGGUGGUGCAUGGUUGUCGUCAGCUCGUGUCGUGAGAUGUUGGGUUAAGUCCCGCAACGAGCGCAACCCUCGUUCUAUGUUGCCAGCGCGUUAUGGCGGGGACUCAUAGGAGACUGCCGGGGUCAACUCGGAGGAAGGUGGGGACGACGUCAAAUCAUCAUGCCCCUUAUGUCUUGGGCUUCACGCAUGCUACAAUGGCCGGUACAAAGGGUUGCGAUACUGUGAGGUGGAGCUAAUCCCAAAAAGCCGGUCUCAGUUCGGAUUGGGGUCUGCAACUCGACCCCAUGAAGUCGGAGUCGCUAGUAAUCGCAGAUCAGCAACGCUGCGGUGAAUACGUUCCCGGGCCUUGUACACACCGCCCGUCAAGUCACGAAAGUUGGUAACACCCGAA
rnacentral:rRNA from 1 species